CCAAAGACAGCAGCGGACACACAUUAAGUUUUUACAUGAUUUUAGACAAUCACAUACUGAAUGUUUUAAAAAUAUAGAUAUCUAAAAGCAUAAAAGAGGUAGAAGCCAGCACCAUUUCUUCUUCCCACGGAUGGCAGCUCCUCUGAUUCACCCUUACGUUGACCUUCUUUUGAAGCUGGAAAGAACAAAGUCAAAGGUUAUCCUUGUAAUAUCAAUUUAAAACACAUGGUAAAAUUAUAAUUAUACUUUGACGUGAUUUUUAUAAGGAGUUUUUAUUCACACUCUUCUUUUUAAUCUUCAUACACUUUUUUUGAAAAUCAUUUUUAAAUAAAUUAUUUAAUAAUUAUUUUUCUUUUUCAUAUCUUUACUACUUUUAAAAUUUUGAAUUUAUAAAUCUAAAAGUUUUUACAAGUUUUUAGAUUUACAUAUCCAAAAACUUUUAAAAGAUUUCAAACUUGCAUAUCCAAAAAUUUAAAAAUUUUUAUCUCACGUUCUUCAAAUAAAAAAAAUCUAAAAAUCCACAUGCAUAAUUUUUUCUAUCAAUUUAUAAAUGAGUUUAUAAUUAUUUAAAACAAUUUACACCUUUUUUAUGAUGUUAUGAAAAUUUUUCAAAAUAUUUUUUCUCACUUAAUUUUUUUUUCCAAACCUUAAAUGUGACUUUUUUGUAUUAAUUGAAUGUGCAUAAACAAUAAGUUAUAUAAUUUAUUAGAUUUUUAUAUCCAUAAAUUAUAAAGUUUACUAAAAAUAUAUAUCUGCAAGUUUUAAAAUUGAGAUGAAAAAAUAAUUAAAUAAUCUUACUUAGAAGAAAAUUAAAAAAAAAAACAUGUGAAGAGAAAAAAAAAUUGAAAUGUGUCUAUUAGCUCUUUUUUAAAAAAAAAGAAUUGAACAAAUUUAAUUUGAAGAAAAAUUGGAAAGAGAAAUAGAUAGAAAGAGUACCUGAUCCACCUAAGCACUUCGACUAUCGAUAUGUCAAAGGAAGGAGGUAGAUUUAAGGCUUGAAUGACGCCAUUAGGAUUUAUCUCUCCAUGAGUCAGAUCCAGGCGGUCAAGAUGUCUCUUGUUGUGAAGUUUGGCUCUCUUAACCUCUCCCACAUCAACCACAUUUCCCACCACUUUUAUUUGAAGAUAUCCACGAAGGAGGUCCAAGUUUUCCAAAUCUCCCACACUGAAUUCUUUAGCUGCGUCUUUGCCAUCUACUCUCGCUCUGAUUGGGAUUAAUUCCCUGAGAGAAGUUAAUCUCCCAAUCCCUUUUGGGUAAUAUUGUAGCCCAAAACAAUACUUAGAAUAAAAAUACCUCAGGUUGAUUAAUUUCCCCAUACCAUCUGGUAGUUUCUCAAGAUUAUGACAACCAUCGAGAUUCAAGUAUUGCAAAUUAUGCAAUUCACACACUUCUUCAGGCAAUUCUUUUAAAUUCCCACAGCCACAAAAAUUAAGGUAUCUCAGAUGAAUUAAUUUCCCUAUUUCAUUUGGAAUUUCUUUUACAUUUACAUGACCAUACCACUCCUUCGCAAACUCAAAUAAUCUUAGACAUUUCGCUCCCUUGAAGAAUGCUGCCAAGGCUUCACCAGUUACAUCACACUGUUGACCACCAGCUAGAAGGCUCCGUAGGUUCUCUAUGCCUUUUAUAGACACAGGAAAUUGAUCCUCUUUUGAUAUCUUUACCCUCAAAUGAUGAGUCUUUUUGGAAGAUAAAUCAAGCCUCACAGUUUCACUGUUGUCAAACUCCACCGCCACAAUUUCUUCAUCUGUCAAAUAUUGGACAAAAUCAUGUACCAUGUCAUGCAUCUUACAUUCAAUUACGUUACCAUCCUCAUCUUUUUCAUAGUCUUGAAAAAAAGAACGAGAUGCUAAAUAGUUGAAGUAUUCACCACCUUUUCCUUCUUCCAUCCCUAAAUUCUCCUUGCAGUUUAGAUAACCAUGUGCCAUCCAAUGCUUAAUUAAUUCAGUUGGCCAAAAAUCAAAAUCUUUGGGAAAGAUUGCACAAUAUAAUAAGCAUGGUCUUAUUUCUGAGGGCAGAUCAUAAUAACUUAGCAGGAGAGGUCUGAAAAUGCCUUUUUCUGCAACUUUUAAUUUCCAUAUCUCACUGUUCAGUAUAUUUUGCCACUCAUUCCUAGUGUUUUUCUCCCGUAACAAACCUCCCAAAGUCUUUGCAGCAAGCGGUAAACCUUUACACUUCUUUGCUAUUUCCCUUCCAAUAUCCUCCAACUUUUCACGCAACUCAUUUCCCUUUCCCAUAUAGGCCAAUUGACUAAGUAUUAACCAGCAACCUUCGUCAGAUAAUUCUUCCAAAUGAAACACUUGACAGGAUCCCAUCCCCGUUGCAACUGGCUUUUUACGAGUAGUCACCAAAAUCCUACUUCCAGACAUGCCUUGUCGAAAAACAACUUUUAGUGGGUCCCAAUCUUCAUCACGGUCUUUCCACACAUCAUCUAAAACAAGCAGGAAUUUUGAACUUUCGAUUUUUUACGAAUUAUGGUCAGAUAAUGUUGUAAGGAAGUUGAACUUGGGAGCUUUUCAAGUAUCUUCUGAUCAAGAGGUAACUUCUGCUCAAGACAUUCUAAAAUCGCUCUCGCAAUUUUGAUUCCAUCAAAAGAGUCCGAGACACACACCCAAAUUACAUUGUCGAAGUGUGCUUGAACUUCUUGGUCGUUAAAGAUCAAUUGAGCAAGAGCUGUUUUUCCGAUCCCUCCCAUCCCUACUAUAGAGAUGGUCUGAAUGCAGCAUUCUUCACUAGUCCCAUUCAACAGUUUCUCCAGUACCUCCUUUUUAAUCUCUUCUCGACCAUGUAACUUGGACACAUCAACAAAAGAUGUACUCUCUACUCGUCUAAAUUGUUUGGUUUCUAUUUUUGUCAAAUGAUAUCUAUCUUUCUCCUUAGCAAUCUCAUCUAGCCUUUCAUUGAUUCCUUUUAUUUUGCUAGCAAUGUCAUGACGCCUAACAACUUGACAAAAAGAAGAAACACAUGAAGUUAUGGAAGUUUUCAUCCUCUUGGGAAUAGAAGCACUUACAUCUAAUUCAGGAUCUGUUUGCAACUUGGAGAGUGCAGUGCUCCACUCAUCCAACACGUCCUCCAUGUCAUAAGACACUUCUUUGAGCUUAUCUAACCAGCCUUUCACGCUUUUCUCCACAAUUUGCCUUUGCUCUGCAUCUUCAAGCGUAUUGCGGAUGGCCUUAAAAUUCCUGUCAAGCUUUUCGACUUCUUUCUCAACACCUGUCACCAACUUCAGCUCUUGCCACGCGUUCUCAGUAGCGAUAGCAGCGAGUUGCUCCAAGAUGGCAGAAACAAGUGCUGAGGCCAUUUUGAUAGAGAGAGAGAGAGAGAGAGAGAGAUAUUAAUUGAUUGAUUGGUGAAAGAAAAUUGAUGGGCGAUCAAACCAUCCAAUUCAACUUUAUUCAGCAAUAACUUUUACUAGCUGCUUUAUAAUUGCAGAAACAAGUGCUUUCGCCAUUUUCCUAGAAGAAAAAGAGGUGUUAGUAAUGGUUAGGGAAAUUAAAGGGGGAUCAGAUCUGGAAUUUCAGGGAAACUACAUUGGUGAGCUUGGGAUUGGGUAGCAAGUAAAAUGGAGGACCACUUCUAUAGUUGUUAACUAUUGACUGUUGACUGUUGACUGGUAACCAGCUGUAAACCAAAUGAUGAAGCCUUUCAUAUCAACUACCAAGCAACUGCAAAGAUUUUUUUUUUUUUGACAAAAUUAUCAAAUAAGUAACAUAAAUAAUUUUCAUGUAAUAUCAAAAUUUUGUUUUUUGAAAAUAAAAAAAUUUAAGAGCAUUUUAUAAUAAUAAAAUAAUAAUUAAUAAUAAAUCUUUAUUAUCUAACUUUUUAUUUGUCAGUUAAUAUGACUUUUGACUAAAUGGCGAAUAUACUGGAACCUUAGAAUAUGCAUUUUUUCAUCUUUACAGCUCAUGACCCAACCACCGACAAGGUUGUUAGCAUGAGAAGCAUUGGUGAGGGACAUGGACAUUGCUUCAACAUUUUCAACUUAUAAUUUUUAACACUUAAUCUUUCCACGCCUAAAAUAAUUUAUUUUUAUUAAAUAACUAUAGUUGAAGAUCACAUACUUGCAUUGUGAAAUCCAUGCUCGUAAAAUAGGGAGAUAAAUGAAAAGAAAGAAAUAUUUAAAAAAUCCUCCAGAUCAAAAUUUUUUGUAAAAUCUUUGGCAUCAUGUUAGAGUUCCUCCCACCGCACUGUGAAUCUAGAUACAAAACACCUUCAGGGCACGGUGAGAGGAACUCCCGUCGCUUACUGAAUAAGAAGGUCAGGCGAAUGAGGUUAACAAAACACUCAUGGUGUGGAUUACAUUGGGUACAGGGCAUUUCUUCUUCAGAUGGUGUCUCCUCAACCUUUUUGCCUACGGAUUUGUUCUGCAAGCUGGUAUUGUCUUUUGCAUUUUGAUGCAGAAUUGACAGAUGUCUGCUUUAUUUUAACUUUUGUUUGUGUAGCUCAGUGAAUCUGACACAUUGUUGAAACUUGAUAAAAUUGUCGUAUUGUGUAUCCAGGAUUUUCCUGUGUCUAAUGGCCUUUGAAUAGUUGCAUUAAGGACUCUGAAUCCUUGGCAUCGUCUAAUUGUCAUAAAUCCUUCAUCAAUCUUUGGAAUAGGCUUGUGGGAUUGUUCCAUAGCAAUGGUAGCAUUGUACUUAUCAGAUGCUGAUAAUAAAUUCUCCAGUAAAUACGGUUUCAUCUCGAAUAUUGUUAAAAAAAUCAUCCAUACGUGUAGUAUCAACAUAUAAAAUAAUAAAUUUAAAUUAAAAAUAAAAAUACACAAAUAUAUUUAUUUCAAUAUAUUUUAAAAUGAUUUAUUUCAAACUUAAUCUCUUAACAAAUAAAUCUUUAUAAUUAUAAAAUUUUUAAAAUAAAAAAAGUCAUCAAAAAUUUAUUACUUAAAACUUAACUCAAAAUUCAAUUAUACAUUUUUAAUAAGCUAGUCACUUAACUAUUCUUUUAAUAUCUAACUAUUUAAGAUUAUCAAAUGAAAACAUAUUAUUUAUAAAGAUAAACUCUUAUACCUUUAUUAAAUUCCUGACUUGUGAUAUAAAACAAACUCAAAUUCUUAUAACUUCACUUAACUUUUGAUGUGAGAUUAUAAGAUUCAAAGUAAACCUCAAUAAAUCCUCAAUUAACUUGAAUCUUUAAAUAUUUUAACAGUAUUUGGAAAGUUGAUAUACUUACUUUUUUUUUUCUUUUGUCACAAGAAUCUCAACAACUAAGCUUCCAUCAAGCAUGUGCAAAUGAUUUUUGAUCUUAUUUUCUCGUAGAAUCACACUACUAUUCUUGUACACUUUCAACCAAUUAUUAUUAUCAUAGUAUGUGUACCUUCGAGAUGCUAACUUACCAAAAACAUUCAAAUUAUAGUUACAACUUGAUAUAUACCUUACAUGAUGAAAGGCCCUAACAACAUCAUUGUGAGAUCCAAAGUGACAUUCCUAAUGCCUUAAAUUUGUACCUUUUCAUUGUUGACAACCAUAAUAUCCUCAUACUUUUCAUUCUCUUCCAACUCCACAAAGUAACUCUUAUUAUUGCAAAUAUGGACUAUAGCAACUGAAUAUAAAAUCUAACUUUUAUCACCUUUCAAAGUCUGAGUCUUAUCUACACAUAUUGUCAAAAUGAUAUUAUCAUCGUCAAAUACAAUAGUAGCAGUAUCACUUUUUUCUUCAUCUGAUUUUUCCUCAUCAUUCGUCCUUUUAAAAGCAAUCAUAUCCCUUUUUAGUUUCUUGUAGCGUAUUUUGAUAUAUUAUUUUUUACCAUAAUAAUAAUAUUCUAUAUCACUGUAAUAUUUAUCUCUUGAUUUGGAUUUUCUUCUUAAUCCAUUAAUCUUCUUGUGAGUCAUCUUUCGAUCAAAACCCUUUACAGGUAGUGUACUCCCUCCAGAUGAUGAGCUUUUAUAUUUUUAUAAACCUUUCAUUCUCAUACAACAGGACAACCAUAUCAUUCAACUUCAAAGUAAGUCUAUCCACUUACAAAGUCCAAACUAAAGAUAUAUAAGACUUGGAUAAAAAUGACAGCAAAAUUAAAGCCUUCUCUUAAUUUUCUAAUUUAUCAAUAAAAAUUGUCAACAAUUGAAAAACUAAUCUAUUAAACUCAUUUAAGUGAUUAUGAAUACUUGUACCUUCUUUCAUCUUCAGAGAAUACAUACCCAUCUUUAAACAUAAUUUGUUGUCAACGAUUUCAAUGUAUAAAUACUCUCAAGCUUAUCCCACAAACUCUUCGAAUUACUCUUAGUCAACAAAUUAUAUUUUACCUCUGAGGUUAAUGCCAAUAUAAUAGUACAACAACUUUUUUCUAAAUUUUAUUUCAAUUACUGUCAGAUAUUUCUUUAAGCUUACUACUCUCUAAUACUUAAUCCAACUCUUGUUGUACUAACAGAUCUUGAAUCGUAUUUUGUUAUAACAUAAAAUUAAUCUUUUCAUUAAAUAACGAAAUCUCAAACUUGGGUAUAAGCAUAUUAGACAUACUUUCUCUAGACAUCUUGAAAUACUUACUUCAUGAGACCAAGAUCUCUUGGGCCUAUCUCUUUUUCCCAUAAACCUUUCUAUAAUACAACUUAUUGGAAAAUCAACAUGCACAUGCAAAACUCAAACACAAAAUGAUAAUUUAAAUUAAGAAUAAGAACACACAAAUAUAUUUGUUUCAGUCUAACUCAAAAUGGCUUACUCCAAAAUAAAUCUUUACAAUUGUGAGACUUUUGGAAUAAAAAAAGUCAUCAAAAACUUAAUCCAAAACCUAAUUACACUUUUUUAAUAGGCUACUCUCUUAGCUAUUCUAUUAGUGUUUAUGUUGGAUUAUCAAACCAAAAUCAAAAUAUCUUAUUUAUAAGUAUAAAACUUCUUAUAUAUUUAUUAAACUCCCGGUGUGGGAUAUAAAAUAAACUAAAACUCUUAUAAUUUUACUUAACUUUCGAUAUGAAUUAUAAGAUUUAAGAUAAACCCUAACAAAUAUCAGAAUUUGCACUAAGACUUUAAUAAAUAUUGGUUCAAAAGUGAAUUUUUUAUAGGCUCUGUAUUGAUUUACUGCAUCAUGGACUUCAACUGGUAAAAAUGUCAAUUUUGCAUUGUUUGAGUUUAUAUAAAGAAGAUCUAAGUAUCCAUAUUCAAAAAUUUAUUUAAUAUCUUCUUUUGGAGAAGAUUUAAAGUUUAUUCUUUUGGAGAAUAUUAGCUCUUAGGUAAAUUUUUGUAUGGUCAACAAAAAUAGUAGAUUUAGCUUAUGUGUGUGAGAAUAAACUUUGGUUGUAAUGGUUUGGUAAGCACCAAUAAAUUUUUCUAAGUUUUUUAGAAUAACUUCAUUGGAUGGUAAUGGUGGAAAGUUUUCUUUUAGGGUAUCCAAAGGGGUUUCUCCUUGGAUCUAUAUUGUGUUAAAUUAGUGAAUUUUACUCUAAAGGACCGUGAGGUCGAUGGACUCAAAAAAAUCUCAGCGAAAGCUUGAGAUGUUUCUUGCUUUUUUAUUUGUUCUUUUGGAAAAAGAAUAUAUUUUUCAUUGAUUUCCUUGAGGAUAACAAUCUAAGAUUGUAUCUAUUCAUACUUAUUUGAAGCUUCAAUAAGAGCAUCGUGUAGCUUAUACAUGUUGUCAAAGUUAGCCUCAUAUUUUUUGUAAAUAUUGUCAAGCUCAUCAACAAGCUUUUCUUUCAUGCUUUUCUAUUGUAUUAAUGAUUUCAUUUAUCAUUGCCAUCCCUGGAUGAGAAAUAAGGUAAAACAUUAUUUUCUCCUUUAAUAUGCUCAAUCUUAAACUUGUAUUCAACAAAGAAAUUAUGCGAUCUAUGAUAUUUUUCCUAUUAGAUGUUAAAGGAUGAUUGUUCAUAAUAAAACUUUUACUUGUGUACUAUCUGUUCAGAUAAUAAGUUCCUUUAACAACAAAAAGUAGCAAAACUUAUGUUUUCCUCUAAUUAUUCCUGACAAUUUUUUUGCAUUUCUAUCAUAAUUCAUUUCAAAAUCUUUAAAAGUACCACUAUUAUAUCUACAUAUUUUUUUAAAAAACUUGCACUCAACUUGUGAGAUAUUAUCUGCUUUAAUAUGAAAGUCUCAUGUUUGAUCUUAUAAAAAACACUUCACCAGUUUUGAGUUUAGAUCUAUAUAUAUUAUACUAUAUUCACACAUUCUUUCAAUGUGAAAUUGAGAUUAUUACAAUUUCUCAAUUUUUAAAGUUUGAUAUCCCUAUCAAACUGAGUCCAACCAUAUAAUUAAAAUCACACUAGACAUUAAGAUUUUAGAGGUGAUGCACUUAAUAACUCUCAUGAUGUAGUAUUUAGUUCCCUCUUAUUAAUAAUCGCUGUGACAUCAUUUUAGGAGUUUGUACCCAACUUAUGAAAUAUUAUUCACUUUGAAUUAAAGUCUCAUAAUUUUAUUUCAUAAAAUGUAUCCCAUAGAUUUAUGUUUAAAUCUUAACUUAUAUAUAAUAUUAUAUCUAUAUAUUCUUUUAAUAUAACAUUUAAAGAAUAUGUGAAUAUAAUAUAAUAUAUAACUUAAGACUUAAAUUUAAAUUUAUAAAAUAUUUUUUAUAAAAUAAAAUCACGAGGCUUUCGUAUCAAAAAAUUGAGGGCGUUACAUUUUCUCUUCAUUUGUUUCUGUAUCUUUUCCUUUCAAAAUUGCUCCCCGAUAUUCAUUGGAAGCAUCGGUUUCUAAUUUCUUUGUAUCUUCAUCUUUUGGUAAAAACCGCCCGUGGCAGCUUAUGACAUAUUUCUUUUAUCUUUCUCACAUGGUUUGUUAAAAUCUCUGUCGUCCAUUCAAAUUUACUAUUUUUUCUUAUCAAUUUUUGUAAUGGUUGUCUUAAUUUGGACAAUUUUUCAAUGAAUUGCCUAGCAUAAUUUGGUAUUCCUAAAAAUUGCUAUGCUCGUUUUUUAUCUUUUAAUUCAUCAAAAAAUAAUACUAUUUUUCUAAUAUAUGUGGUUGUAAUUCUAAACAAUAUACCAAAAGCUGUAUAUUGUUUAGAACGUUCUUUUAAUUUUAUUUGUCCCAAUCGUGAUUUGCAAUCAAAUUUGGAACAUAUCUUGCUCUAGUCUUCAUUAGGUAACAUUUGUCUGCUGCUGCUGAACUGUUUGAAUUAAUUGUGAAGUGUGAUUUUUAUUAAUAAGUGAUUGAUUUAAUCGGUUAAAUUUAUUUUUUUUUUAUGAAAAUAUUUUGAGUUCGAAUUCUACCGAUGGUCACUUGUUGAAGUGAUCUUAAAUGUAUCACUUACAAUAAUUUAUUUUAAGCUAUCAAAUACGAUAUAUUUUACAUUGAUUUAGGAGAUUGAAUUGUCUAUCUACUCUGAAUUUAAUUUUACAAAAAAAAAGUGUGGUUCCUUUCUACAUUAUCUUACUAAUGCACUCUACCUAUGAUUUGUUGUCUUGUUAUUUGUUCACGUAAUGUUAAUUAUGUAAGAUGUGGUUCCUGCUAAGUUCUUUAAUUAAUAUUAACUAGCAGUUUAUAAUGUGUUGCUGAUUUAGUUGAUUUGAGUAUUAACAUGAUAUUGAGAACAAAUGCAGACCAUCCAAUUCAACUUUAUUCAGCAAUAACUUUUACCAGCUGCUGUAUAAUUGCAGAAACAAGUGCUUCAGCCUUUUUCUUAGAAGAAGAUGCGUUGGUAACGGUUAAAGGGGAAAUUAAAGGAAGAUGAGAUCCGGAAUUUCAGGGAAACUACAUUGGUGACCUUGGGAUUGGGUAGCGAGUAAAAUGGAGGACCACUUCUUUGGGAAAAAGAUAAUGAAAUUUCAAAUUUAAGAUUUUUCUUUUUGACAAAAUUAUCAAAUAAGUAACAAAUAAUUUUCAUGUAGUGAUUAAAAUUUUCUUUUAUGAAAAUAAAAUAUCCCAAGAGUUUUUUAUAAUAAUAAAAUAAUAAAAGUAAUAAUAAUUCUUUGCUACCAAUUUUUAUUUGUCGGUUACUAUGACUUUUGACUAAACGGCGAAUAUACUUGACAACCUUAGAAUAUGCUUUUUCUAAUCUUUACAGCUCAUGACCCAAUCACCGACAAGGUUGUUUGCAUGAGAGGUAUUGGUGAGGGACAUGGACAUUUCUUCAACAUUUUGAAGAAAUGAAGUGACAAAAGAAAAGAUACUGGGGCCACCAAGCCACUACUUACUGAAUAAGGUCAGGCGAAUGAGGUUCACAAAACAUUUAAUUAUGUCACCAUGUACCAUGUCAGACAUCUUACAUUUAAUUAUGUUACCAUGCUUAUUUUUAUCAAAAUAUUGAAAAAAAAAAGAGUUGGAAGCUACGUGGUUAAAGCAUUUUUCACUUUCUUUCAUCUUUAAAUUCAUGUUAAAGUUUAAAUAAUUAUAUGUCGUAAUAAUUUUGAAGUUGUCCGACGAAUUUAAAAAUAAAAAUAAAAAAAUAAAAAAUAAAAUCAUUAUUAAUUUUUUUUAAUUAAAUACGAUUAAUCAUCUAAUAAAAUUUAUCUUUUAAUAAAAUUUUAAAAUUAAUUAAAAUUUAUUAAAAAGAUAAUUUUACAAUCUGUAAAACAGUCGAGGUUUAAGAGUCGAUUAUACGUAAAAAAAGAUUAGCACUCCCACGACGCCUUUAAAAAUAGUACCACUUAACUACGUGUUAUAUUUUAAUUUUGAUUAAAAAUAAUCUCAUUCUCAGUGUUUGAAAAAAUAAUUUUCUUAAUUUUUUUUAAAAAUUAGGUUGUUUGGUUUUAUUUUAAAAAAUUUAUUAUUCAAAUUUUAUUCGAGAAAAAUAAAUUAGAACCUUUUUUAUUUAAAUAAUUCUCAAAAUACUCCAGCACGUUGAAAAUAUUAGAACUCUUUCUUACCUAAAGAUUUUUCAGACAUCACUUCUCGAAAUACCUAAGAAUUUCAUCCUCGGAUGUUCGAAUUUACUUUUUAUAAAAAUUAUAUCAUGCAUUGAAUGCAAAUAAUAACAUGAUGCAUACAUUUUAUUUUUUAGAAAUUUUAUUAAUUUUUAUUAUUAUUCUUAUUUAAAAGAAAUGAAGAACAAAAAAAUUUUUAUUGUAUUGAAGAUUUUCUAUAAAUAUUUUAAUACACUGAUAAUAUUUAAGAAAAAAAUCUUUCACUUAUAUAUUUCUUAAAGAGAUACUUUUGAAAUAUCAUCUUUGACAAAAAUUUCUUUUUUUUCUAUUUUUUAUUACCUAUUUUUAAUUAUUAGUUAAUUAUUAUUAUUAUUAUUUUAUAAAAAAAUUUUAUUAUAUUGAAAUUUUUUUAUAAAUACUCCAAAUACACUGAUAGUAUUUUUAAAAAAUUUCUCACUUAAAAAUCUCGUAGGUAUCACUUACUCGGAGUACUUUGAAUCUCAUCGUUGGACAAAAAAUUUUUUUUUCUUUAUUUUUUUUAUAUUUAUAAGAUUUAUUCUGAAAUUAAUAUAAUUAUCAAAAACUUUUAUAUAUAUAUAUUUUUAUUAAUUAUUAUUAUAAAACAAUAAAAAUUUAUUAUGUUAAAUUUAAAUAUUUUAACACGCAUAAAUAUUAAAAAUAAUAAUUAAAAUAACUAAAAUAAUAUAUAAAAAAAAUAAAAAUUUUUUUUUACUUAAACUAGAUCAAUUAGUGAUCUGAUCAACACGCACUUCAGACCGACGGUUUGGUUCGACGGUUGGAUUACGUUCAACAAUUCAAUUUCGAUUCGAUUCCGGUUCAGGCUUAUAAUUGUCUGCAAUUCUUGAAUACCUACUGUCUAACGUCCUUUUAUCACUGCCAUGGUCUUGUGAAUGUGGAUAAUACCGCGGCUCUUGUUGAGAAGGUGGAUGAUACUGUGGGGAGGCAUAGCUAUGGUGAGGCACGUAACUCUGGCUUUCUUGACCAUAUGACAACUGAGGAUGCCCGUAAUGAGAGUCCCCUGAAGAUGAAUUCUGCCUCCAACGCCCCUCCCUUGAACUACUAGAAUGCAAUACAGACGCCACCAAACUAAUAAAAAAUAAAAAACCCACCAAAGCAAGCAUUCAGAAUAUACAUGAUGAAGCAAGAAAAUUAAAACAUGAAAGGAUUUCUACUAUUCAGACUUUCCUAGAAACGUCAAAUUUUCCUUCUGUACCAAAAACUCAAGAGACCAAUUCACAAACGUAAGCUUCCCCUUCACCGUCCUAAGAACAGCCAAAGACAAGCCUUUUACAGCUAAGUAUACUUCCAAUAAUUAUUUCCUUGGAACUAAUAUUACUCUAAAAAAUACAUCGCCGUUUCAUCUCAAAACAAAAAAUGAAAAAUCAUGAAUUCUGAAAGAGACCCAUUAAUCUUGACGGCUGUCACAUUUUCAAGAUCUAAAGCGUAAAAGUAAACAAAUUUUGAACCUGGGUCGAAAGAGAAAUUCCCAUACCUUUAAUUGAAAUAGGCAAAUUUCCAGAGUUGCAGAGCAUCAAUGGAGGAUCUGUGUAUCGUUUUUGCUUUUGAAUUUUGAGAUAAAGUAUUAAUAACAAGUGAAAAGUACACAAUCUUUUUUUAUGUUUGCUUUAAUGGGCACCACAUGGAAGAUGCUCAGUUUGGAAGCGAUCGGUAUUCUUCUCCGCAUCCCUUACCACCGAUCACAUCUCUAGUACACUGGUGUCAUGCUGUCUUCAUUUAUCCUCUUAUAGAAAAUAAAUGUAAAACAUUUUCUUUUUUCUAAAUCUAAUGUAGUAAUUAGCAUAAAAUUUUUUAUGAUUUUACUAAAGCAUUCAAGUGUUGAAAAAUCUAAAACAACAUCUGAAUGCAUGAAAGAUUCUAGUCAAAACAAUUGGAAUUGAGGAUUUAAAAGUCAAAAUUAGUUUGAUCACAUCAUAGGAAAUAACUAGUAAAUUGUAAUCAAGUUGACAAGUUUUAAAAAUUUCAUGGAAUAUUGAAACAUUGAAAGUUUUAUGAGAGUAUUUGUUGGCUUUAAUUUUUUUUAUCAUUUCCCUGCAAUGUCAAUGUUGCUUUCGUUAAAAUGUCUGCGAGUUUGAAAAUCAUUUGUAACGAAGGCUUGAUUGGAACUCUUAUGAUUGGUAUGCGAUUAUUAUUAUUAUUAUUUUUUCAUAUAUACUCUUAACUCAUCUCCGAGUUAUAUAAAAUUUUGCAUGUUUGAAUUUUGAUUUUUGAUUUUUUUUUGUCAUAUAUGAUUGUUCAAGUGCAAAGCAUUUUUUACAUAUCCAUGAACAUAUAAUCUCUACCAAAGAGGAAAGAAUGUUAAUUUUAAAAUAUUUGAGGACUAAUAGGUUUAUAACAAUUAGAAUGUAGUCCCUUUUUUUUUUUAUGUUGGUGUACAUAAUUAAUUUUCUAUAGUUGUUGAUUGUUUUUGAAUGCUACUCAUUUUUAAUUCUUAAAUUCAGUUAAAGCAAUUACAUUAAAUUAUAAGAUCAACAUCAUAUGCAGUUAAGUUUAGAUUUUUUCUUAAAACAGAUUUUUUUCCUCUUCUUCGUUGAUGUAAGGUAAAGUUUGGUUACCAUUUGAGAUAAAGACGAUAACAGGACCAAAGCUUAAGAAGAAUUGUCAUCAUGUAAAAUACACAAUUAUAUAUAGAUAUAUUACCUACUAACGAAAUUGAAUUUUAAAUUUUACAAAUGAAUUAAAACAUUUUCAUGUAUUUUCUUCAUUUUGUAAAUAUAUUUUCAAAAAAAUGCCUCACUCUUGAAUGAGAUAACUUCUUGUCUUUGAUUUGUCUCACUCAAUUCAAUGAAGCCUCAGUUUUAAGAUUAAUUUUGAAUUGUAACCUAUGUAAGAGAGGUUAGUAGCUAUUAAACUAAAUGUUAUUAUAGUAUACAAAAUGCACUAAUAACAAAAAAAAAUAGAGUUAUUUAAGUGUCAUAAUUUAUUACAAAACAAAAUAAAUAAGCAUGAUCAAUUAUUAAGAUUAUAAUAUUAAGUAAAUUUUAAUGAUACCAAAUAAAGAUUAUAUUGAGAAAAAAAUUAACACCUCAGUAAUAUGAAACGUAAAUGAUUCCAUAUAUUUAAAAUAAUACAUUACAAGCUAAAGAUCCCACAUAUAAUCCAUACAAACAACAAGCACACUACAAAUUAAAUUUGAUCCAACAGCUCGAGGGUUCAAAUCAUGGUUCAAAGCAGGGACCAAAGACAGCAGCAGACACACAUUAAGUUUUUACAUGAUUUUAGACAGUCACAUACUGAAUGUUUUAAAUAUAUAUAUUUAUAUAAAGGCAUAAAAGAGGUAGAAGCCAGCACCAUUUCUUCUUCCCACAGAUGGCACCUCCUCUGAUUCAGCCUGACCACGUUGACCUUUUUUCGGCACUACGAAGAUCAAAGCCAAAGGUUACCCUUGUAAUAUCAAUUUAAAACACAUGGUAAAAUUAUAAUUAUCCUUUGAUGUGAUUUUUAUAAGGAGUUUCUAUUCACACUCUUCCUUUUAAUCUUCAUACAUUUUUUUCAAAAUCAUUUUUAAAUAAAUUAUUUAAUUAUCUUUUUUUUUAUAUCUCUUUUACUUUUAAACUUUUGGAUUUAUAAAUAUGAAAACUUUUAAAAAUUUUUAGAUUUAAAACUUUUAAAAAUUUCCAAACUUAACUAUCUGAAAAUUUAAAAAUUUUUAUCCCACAUUCUUCAAAUAAAAAAAAAUCUAAAUACUCACAUGCAUAGUUUUUUCUAUCAAUUUGUAAAUAAAUUUAUAAUUAUUUAAAACAAUUUGUGACUUUUUUAUGAUGUUAUGAAAUUUCUUCAAAAUAUUUUUCUCAAUUGAUUUUUUUCCCAAACCUUAAAUGUAACUUUUUUUAUUUAUUGAAUAUGCAUAAACAAUAAGUUAUAUAAUUUAUUAGAUUUUUAUAUCCAUAAAUUAUAAAAUUUACUAAAAAUAUAUAUCUGCAAGUUUUAAAAUUGAGAUGAAAAAAUAAUUAAAUAAUCUUACUUAAAAGAAAAUUUUUUAAAAAAUAAUUGUGAAGAGAAAAAAAAUUGAAAUGUGUCU
rnacentral:lncRNA from 1 species